rfam:Zostera marina strain Finnish scaffold_383, whole genome shotgun sequence.
AGGAGCUGGAUGAGAAGAAACUCUCCCGUCCAGUUCUGUAGUAGAGAUGGAAUUGAGAAAUAACCAUAAAUCUGGCUUUUAGCCUUUCUAUGUCACCAUUUGAUUUAUAUUUGAUUUAUAUACCCAUCUAAA